rnacentral:rRNA from 1 species
UCUUACGGUCAUGCUACCCUGAGCAAGCCUGAUCCUGUCUGAUCUCAGAAGCUAAGCAAGGUCAGGCCUGGUUAGUACUUGGAUGGGAGACCACCUAGGAAGGUGCUAUAGGCA